rnacentral:lncRNA from 1 species
UGUGGGAAGCGAGCCAAAGGACAAUGCCACUCAGAUGAUGCCACGUGGAAGCCUGUACGUAUGUCCCCAUCAUAUCUCCCUUUCUCUUCACACUUUUCACACUACUUCUUCUCUUCAUAUUCUUGAAUGAGAAGACUCUAAAGAGAUUAACAGAAUCUUGUUGAAUGAUUCUAGUAAUCUGAUGUUUAUAUAUGUUUCUAUCAAUUUCUCUCUCUCUAAAAUAUUAUUUCUAAAUAUAUACAUAUAUAGUAUUAUAUUGAACUCUCCAGAUAGUUUUAAAGUUACUUCCUUUUCUCACUAUAAUAAUAUUUUUAUUUUCUUUGUUUUUUAAUUUUUACAAGUGCUAUUCUUUUCUUUUUUUUCAUUAUAGCAGCCAUCAAGAGUUCUGUAAUUUGAUUGAUGAAGCACUUUUGUAUCUGCAGCCUUUUAUUUUUCUUGUUCCUAGUUUGUUAGUACUAUAUUAACAGCCUGUUAAACUUGUCAUUAAAUUCUAGCAUUACGGUAUAAAAAUCUUUUUUUUUUGGUAGCAAGAUCUAAAAAUCAUACCAUGGUUCAAUUAAGCACAUAAACACUUAAAAUGAACUUGAACAGCUGAUAAACUGUAUCUAAAAAUACUAAAAAAAUAACUUAUUCAGUGUAUUUUACAAAGUGAAAUCUUAGAAGAGUAGAGUAUUAUACAUUGUAUCUUAACCUGAGAUGUUGUUUUCGAAUAUCUAUAAAGACUUUUGAGUCAAAAUUCGGAAACAAAAUUGUGCAUAUUCUCAAACCUUAUUAUGUAAAUAAGGGCCAGUUUGGCCAUAAAAAAUUCCUUUUUUCCGAAAAAAAAAUCACUUUUCCGAAAACUGUGGUGUUUGACCAUGAAAAUUCAAAAAAUUAUUCUAGAGUUGAAUUUCAAAAAGUGAAAACAAUUUUUAUUCUUUUCACAAUUUUCCACUUCCAUUUCCAACUUUCAUUAUUAUUACAUAUAAUUUCAAUCUUUAAAUUUUUACACAAACCUCUCUUAUAAUUACAACCAACUACCAAGAAAAAAAUUAUUUAUUUUUUAUGAUACAACAUCAUUUUUAAUUGUUACAGAUAUUCUAAUCUCUUUUUCUUCUUUUAACCAAAAUUUACUAACGUGAAGUAAAAAAUAAUAAAUGGCAAUCUAUAGCGGAAAUAUAUCAACUUUUGUUCCGAAUGAACUAUAUUAUAGAAAUAUAAAGCCUAGUACAUUAUGUUAUUUAAAAAUGAGAUAUUUAAUAUUUUUUUCUUGUCAUUGUAAUUUUCUAUAUAUGUCAUAUAAUGGCUAUUAUGAUUUUAAUAAAUUAUUAAAAAGUGGUCAAUAAAGUUACGUAUUAAACAUAACGUAACGAGCCAUAUAUACGAUACAAUAAUAUUCAAGGAAAAUCAACAUCAUCACUAAAGAAAAAGCAAAUUAGCACUAAUCUAUUCAGAAAUAAUUUAUCCGUAAAUUUUUUUAAAAAGACCAAAUUCAAUAAAAUAAUUAAUUCAAGUGAAAGUAAUUAAGAAUUUUCAUCAACAAAUUUAAGAAUAUAAAAAAUAUAUUUAUAUCCAUCAAUCAUAUUUAUCAAAAUAUAUUUUCUCUAUUCAAUCGAUUAUGAUUAGAUAAACUUAUUUAGCUCGUGUUUGUGAUAUUUUUAUCCAAAUUUUAGAAGAAUAACAAUCAUAAUAAUUAGUUUGUUGUUAAUUAUUUUAUCAAUUGAAGACAUAUAAAUUAUUUUCUCAACAUUUGGUUGUAUGUUAGUAGGUAAAUUAGUAGUUGAGUGAUUUUAAUAAUUUUUAAAAGUUGAGGGCAUAAAUCAUAUUUAAAAAAGAUUUUUCAAAAGUCUUUAAAAAAAAAUUCAAAAAAAUAUGGUCAAACACAAUCCAACUUUAUUUUCAACUCCAACUCUGGAAAAAAAUAAUUUUCAUGGUCAAACAACUACUAAGUUGACCACAUAAAUUAUGUCACCUCUUGAAAACGCGUCUAAAAUCUUUUCCAAAAUGUAAGACAAAAUAUAUAACAAAAAUAUGUUAUCAUGUGUUUAGGUGACAGAUUAAAACAGAUAAUAAUUUUAGUAUCCAAAUAAAAUUUAUUAACAAAUAUAAAGAUGCUAAAUGCAUUCCGCCUUGAAAGAAAUAUGGUCAUUUAUAGAUGAUUUUGGAGUAGUACCUUUUCAGAUAUUGAAAGUUAGCAUAUUAUUAUGUAGUUGGAGGAGCAAUGUAGAUAGAUCUUUUGUAAAUCUAUGAUGCUGUUAUUUAUAGAAAAUAUGCUUUUUUGAAAGUGACUGCACAGUUGCUCUUCUCAAGUUUGGGGUUAUUGGAUUGUAAUGUUUUUAUGAAAAAGAGAAAUAAUUAAUUUAUCUUCCUUAUUUUUUAAUUUGUAAGUAAAAAACCUUGAAAUUGUUUUUUUUUUUUAAUUUUCCAUUCGGUGUUCAGUGCCCAUAUUGGAGUCCUGACUAAUCCGGAUCGCGCGUUACAGGGCCCAUUAAGGUGACAGAGCUCCCAAUAGAGUUUUCUUCAUACCCAGGGUCGAACCCUCGACGUUUGGUUAAGGGUGGAGCAGCCUCAUCCACUGCACCACAACCCGUGUUAUAACAGUUGUAGCUUAGCUUUUAUUGUUAGUUUUCUUAAUAAAGGAAAAAUGGUAAUGGAUUUGGGCCUAAAUUCUAA